AUUGAACGCUGGCGGCAGGCCUAACACAUGCAAGUCGAACGAGAGGCGGACGGGUGAGUAAUGGCUGGGAAACUGGCAGAGGGGGGGGGAUAACUACUGGAAAAGGUAGCUAAUACCGCAUACGAUCGGAUGUGCGAAGAUGGGAUUAGCUAGUAGGUGGGGUAACGGCUCACCUAGGCGACGAUCCCUAGCUGGUCUGAGAGGAUGACCAGCCACACUGGAACUGAGACACGGUCCAGACUCCUACGGGAGGCAGCAGUGGGGAAUAUUGCACAAUGGGCGCAAGCCUGAUGCAGCCAUGCCGCGUGUAUGAAGAAGGCCUUCGGGUUGUAAAGUACUUUCAGCGAGGAGGCGUUACUCGCAGAAGAAGCACCGGCUAACUCCGUGCCAGCCGCCGCGGUAAUAC
rnacentral:rRNA from 1 species